rnacentral:lncRNA from 1 species
AUGUUCUUAGGAUCUUUUGGUGAGAGAUGUGAGUUGGGUUUGACAUUGGGGAAUGAUUGUGUAAUUGUAUGUUUGGGAAAAUGGUAGAACAAUGGAGAUUGAGCAUUGUAUGCAUGAGUUGAUCUCUUUCUUAGAUAUAUUAUGUUCAAUGUCAAGGCUACUUGUUUCGAGAAUAAACCACCUUAAAGAUCAUAUAUUUUGAACAUCUUGACUCACUUGAAUAAAAGUAGCCUUGACAUUAAACAUAAUAUAUCUAAGAAAGAGAUCAACUCAUGCAUACAAUGCUCAAUCUCCAUUGUUCUACCCUUUUCCCAAACAUACAAUUACACAAUCAUUUCCCAAUGUCAAACCCAACUCACAUCUCUCACCAAAAGAUCCUAAGAACAUCAGCUCUUUCUCUUUGAAAUCUACAAGGGAUAUUUCACAAUUUCAAAACAUUUCUUAGCUCCUAACAACUUUGCUAGCCCCCUUUACUUUCUUUUCAUUUUCUUUUCUGUUUUUUCUUUUUCUUUUUUUUUUCUUUUUCAUUCUUCUUUUUAGGCUGGGGGCCAAAACUUUUCAUAACUUGAGCUAGAGGCUUCUCUACUUAUCCCAAUAAGACAAUUCUCUUAAACACAAAGAGCCAUUUCUUUUCCUUUUUCAUUGUUCCCAAAUCAUAAGCACAACACUCACCCCCCAUCUAUAGCUAGACAAUAAAGUACCCAAUCGUUUCGAGAAUAAACCACCUUAAAGAUCAUAUAUUUUGAACAUCUUGACUCACUUGAAUAAAAGUAGCCUUGACAUUGAACAUAAUAUAUCUAAGAAAGAGAUCAACUCAUGCAUACAAUGCUCAAUCUCCAUUGUUCUACCCUUUUCCCAAACAUACAAUUACACAAUCAUUUCCCAAUGUCAAACCCAACUCACAUCUCUCACCAAAAGAUCCUAAGAACAUC